rnacentral:rRNA from 1 species
UACGUAGGGUGCGAGCGUUGUCCGGAAUUAUUGGGCGUAAAGAGCUUGUAGGCGGUUUGUCGCGUCUGCUGUGAAAAUCCGGGGCUCAACCCCGGAAUUGCAGUGGAUACGGGCAGACUGGAGUGUGGUAGGGGAGAGUGGAAUUCCUGGUGUAGCGGUGGAAUGCGCAGAUAUCAGGAGGAACACCAAUGGCGAAGGCAGGUCUCUGGGCCGCUACUGACGCUGAGAAGCGAAAGCAUGGGGAGCGAACAGG